UGAGCGUUUAAAUCAGCAAUGCAGCACCUUGGGUUGUGUUGGGUGGUGAUGGAGGUGCCUUUCUUGCUGCCCUCAUGGAGGCCUUUCCUGACCAGUCUGUAGACCCAUCUAUUCUAAUAGCAAAAAUCAGCAGGGAGCAAAAUGUGCAAGUUGAGACCUACAGUUACUUAUGGGCGUCCAGCUCCACUGGCUCUGGUUAUGCGAAAUGUUCUUGAAAGCUCUGACCCACUUUCCCAGUUGUAUCUCCUGCAGCAGCUGAAGGUCCCCACUGUGGGCACCACAGCAGCACAGAUGGCCUUGGAGCAAGGACAUGGUGAUGGGCCGAGGUCCCCGGGCUGGGGAGCUCACGUUUGCCACCCCAACCUGGUCCAUCUCCCCAGUCCUCGCUCGGUGUAGCAGAGGGAGCCAGCAGACACCCACCAGUGAUAUCCACAGCAUGCUCUGACCUUGCCUCUGGUCCCUUUUCUUGGCCCCUAGUUCACCAAAGAGGAGAGCGGGUACCAAGAGCUGCAUGAGGAACUGGGGGUGGCCACCCCGAAACCCCACCUGCGGGUCCCUGGACACGGAUGCUACCACCGGACCCAUCGUUGGGGAUGGCUUUGCUCCUGCAAGAUGCGAUGUGGCCACCUUCCCGGCAGAAAGAGGAAAAGGGGAACUGGUCUUCGUUGACAGGGACGUCACCGGUGAGGCACUGAAAUGCCACAUGGUGAUACUGGUGGAGACCAGGCUCAGCCCACAUGGAGAUCAAGCAGCUCUGGACGGGCGGGAGUUGUCUUCUUCAGAUGCCAGCAUCCAGCCCCACCAGCAAUGAGGACGUGGCUCCUGUCUCCCCACUUCUCUUCUUGAGUUAUUGGGUCCCACCAGCCCGCGUUCAGGACCUCCGGAGAUCCCUGAGAGCGUGAUGGACACCCAGAGCCGCUCCUGCCAGGCUGGUUUCAGGGCAAUGGGACAAGGAGAGGUGGCCAGGGACGGGCUCGCAGGUGGAGAAGCAUCCGGGAAGUCACCGGGACACGUUUGGCUGAUCUGAACCUGAUGUGGUGAAGAGCCCAUCUUGCCCAUGAGGUGCCGGUGGUGGGUGCGGAGAGGAGGAGGGCUGCCGGCUGGCACACGAGAGCUUCCUCGGAGGACAAGGAAGACGAGGGUUGUGGUGUACCCCAGCCUGCACAGUCACGGAGCAAGUCAUGACCCUCCCUUCUUCGGGAUCGGGCACUACAGGGUGCUCCAUUAUCCACCCUCAGUGUCUCCAAACUCGUGGCUACCAGGACACUGGCCCCGUGAACUGUGAGUAUCCCUGGAUGAUUCUACGUUUUUACCAGCGUUUAAUUAACUACACCGCUCGCCAGCACUACCUGCCUUGCUUCACUUCUCUAGCUCAGGAUCUUGCCCGGGGAUGAGAAGGGAUGUGGCCGUCCUGUCCUCCAGGCACCCACGGCCACCCCAGUCUGCACCAUCCCACUCACUGCGGGGCUUUCACAACAACCUCAGCCAAACAUUAUAUUCCGCUGAGGAAAAGUCUGCGUUUUCUGCCUAGCUCUCUCUGAAGGCAGUCUGGAAGUGGGGACUGAACGCUCCCAGCGUGGCAGGAGCGUGAUGCAAAAACUCCCUUUGCCAGAGCAUCCCUCUGCUCUCCUACCUGGGGAUGCCGACAGCGGGGAGGUCUCCAGGAGGGAUGCAGAUGCAGAUGUUCAGUAACACCAGGACACGGGCAGGGUCAUUGGCGUUCACGGCUAUCGGCGCUGUUUAACCACGCACACGUUUAUUUUCCUUGGCUCUGACAGAGAAAUGUGCUCCUCAAGGACUUUUCAUUAAGCAAAAAAUUUAUGAGAGAGGAUGAAAAUUGUGUUUUACUGUCUGAGGUCUCGGUCAGUGCUGUUUCUUCAGACGUUUUAGUAAUUCAUCUUGGCAAGGACUGAGAAAAUUUCUCCAGUGAAACAAAAAAUUUAACUUCCACAUUUGGAGUCGGUUGCAUCGGCCGGUUCCAUCCCCGGCAUGGAGCAAUGCCCAGAGCAACGACCAGCCCCCCCUGGGUAUUCAAAACAAAAGCGAAACACCUCACAAUUUAUGUCCAGUGAAAAAUAAUGUGUACAUGAUGUAAAGUGUUAUUGGGAUUUGAUGCUAAUUUUAGUGGUCACCUUGGCUGUGUUUGAGGAAGUUGCCGGUGCUGCCAAGAGCAAAUUUACCUGAUGAUGAAUGAGGAAUCGGAGCAUAAAAUAAAUAAAUAUCAGCAACA